UUCUUCGUCUCCUACGGCCACCCGCACCUCCUCCAAACGCCUCCACAAUCGGAUCUGAACCACCAGAAUCGAUUUUCAUGGAGGAGAAUCGGUUCUCACCUCCCAUUCUCGCACAGCCACAAUGUAGCACUUGUCUAUUCCCACGCAUGGAACAAAAAAGAGCAAGGGGGAUUUUGUAAUUUCACUCUUCAUUCCCUCAAAUCAGACUCUCAAAUCACUUAUCCUUUUGAAAUGCUUGAUGGGUUUUGCACAAGCUUUCCCUGUAACCUCUAUUAAUAACCUUCCCUCACUCGUUUGCACCUUUAAGAGGAAACUUUGUGUUUCUACUGCAAAACUCAGCCGAGACAAUGACCCAUUACUUCUUUCUGCCACUGCUUUUGCUUCUCUUCGCUACCGUGAAUCUCUUCGACCAGAGCCUCUGUUUCUAGACCCAUAUGCUGGUUGUUUUGUCCGUGAUAAUACUCCCGAGGAUGUGAUUCAGGACUUGCAUCCCUAUUGUCUUGCAGCCAAGUUCAUUGAUGAUAAGCUGCUUCAUACAGUUAGUCUUAUUGAUGGACUAAAGCAGCUAGUUUUUUUGACUGAUGGCAUGGAUACACGCCCAUACAGACUUCAGUGGCCUACUUCGACCAUAAUAUUUGACAUUUCCCCUGAAAUUGUGUUUAAGUUUGCAGCUGAGAAGCUUAAAGUUUCAGAUGUUGGGGCUAAGAUACCCAAAGGUUGCAUAUUCUGUCAUAUUCCACUGGAAUCAUCUGACCUGGAGCAGGCUAUGCAAUUUAAAGGCUACAAUGGUAAUAGACCAAGCAUAUGGGUCCUGCAGGGAUUUCCAAUGAUGACGCUGGCAAAUUUUGAAGAGGUUUUGUCAAUGAUUAGCAGUUUGGCCAUGAAGGGAUCCCUUUUUUUAGGAGAGCUUCCUGCCUGCUUAACUGAGACAGACCCAGAAAUCAAGUCCAAUAUAAGGCAAUGGGUGGAUAAACUAUUCAUGAGCAAGGGAUUUCGGGUGGAAAUGAUCAAGUACGAAGGGAUUGCCGGGAGUUAUGGUAAAGAUUUUGCAUCAGGACACAAUAAUAGUAUACUGUUUGUCGCAGAACAGCUGUUACAUUCUGAUGAUCAGAUGGAAUCAUGGAGACGAGAAUUUCAAAGGAUAGAGAAUGAAGGUGAUGAAGAUGGUUUUGAAGAGUUAUAGAUAAGCAUAUAAGCUUCAUCUCACCCUCAUUAGCCUCAAAAGGAUACUUCUAUUGCUACAAGGGUCUUUCGUGGCAUUAUCCUCUAUACAAUUGAUGGUACCCCAUUCCACCUUUUGAUUUCUCUGUUAAAGGAGUUUCUUCAAUAUCAGUGGAUGUACAUAAAUAUGGUUUAUCUCCCAAAGGAACAAGUAUAGUUCUUUAUAGAAACCAUGAAAUCAGAACGGUAAGGCAAUGAUUUACUGAAAUUAUUUUUAGUCUUUUUAGUUUAUAUCUGAAUUAUAAACUGGUUAUUCAAUAUUUUUAAUGUUUACUUGUGCAACUUUUUGGAAACAUCUCACAGAAUAUGACAUCUCCUAAUGUUCGGAAAGAGUACUUUAUUUCAAAUUCUUGUUUUCUCUUUCCUUGAGUUGGUAUCCAUCAAUACUAUGAAAAUAGAAAUUAGCGUAUCAUAUUUGAUUAUCGGUGUUUCUACCUCAAACUCAAGUUUUUUUCUAGUGAAAGGGUCAUUUUACAGACGAUAUGUUGCACCAUAGAAUCUGACUUACAUUUCUCUUGGCUUUUGAUCGUAGCAUGGUGGACAUCAUAAGCGAAAUGUAUCUCUUUCUCUUCCUUAGGAAAUCAUGAAGAGUUGGUAGAUGAAACAUUUUUGCAUUUCUUCUUACUUAAGGAUAUUGGAGAAAAAAACUUUAUUUUUCUGAAUACAAUUAUAGAGACAGGAGUUAGAAGACGAAUUGUAUAACAGGGUAAGCCCUUGGGCUCAUGAACAUUAAAGCAGUUAUCAAUUAACUGAAAUUCAAGUACAUCAUUUUUCA